CCUACGGGAGGCAGCAGUGGGGAAUAUUGCACAAUGGGGGGAACCCUGAUGCAGCGACGCCGCGUGAGUGAAGAAGUAUUUCGGAAUGUAAAGCUCUAUCAGCAGGGAAGAAAAUGACGGUACCUGACUAAGAAGCCCCGGCUAACUACGUGCCAGCAGCCGCGGUAAUACGUAGGGGGCAAGCGUUAUCCGGAUUUACUGGGUGGAAAGGGAGCGUAGACGGUUAUGCAAGUCUGAAGUGAAAGCCCAAAGCUCAACCAUGGGACUGCUUUGGAAACUGUAAAACUGGAGUGCAGGAGAGGUAAGCGGAAGUCCUAGUGUAGCGGUGAAAUGCGUAGAUAUUAGGAGGAACACCAGUGGCGAAGGCGGCUUACUGGACUGUAACUGACGUUGAGGCUCGAAGGCGUGGGGAGCAAACAGGAUUAGAUACCCCUGUAGUC
rnacentral:rRNA from 1 species